rnacentral:rRNA from 1 species
GAUGAACGCUGGCGGCGUGCCUAAUACAUGCAAGUCGAGCGAACAGACGAGGAGCUUGCUCCUCUGACGUUAGCGGCGGACGGGUGAGUAACACGUGGAUAACCUACCUAUAAGACUGGGAUAACUUCGGGAAACCGGAUCUAAUACCGGAUAAUAUAUUGAACCGCAUGGUUCAAUAGUGAAAGACGGUUUUGCUGUCACUUAUAGAUGGAUCCGCGCCGCAUUAGCUAGUUGGUAGGUAACGGCUUACCAAGGCAACGAUGCGUAGCCGACCUGAGAGGGUGAUCGGCCACACUGGAACUGAGACACGGUCCAGACUCCUACGGGAGGCAGCAGUAGGGAAUCUUCCGCAAUGGGCGAAAGCCUGACGGAGCAACGCCGCGUGAGUGAUGAAGGUCUUCGGAUCGUAAAACUCUGUUAUUAGGGAAGAACAAAUGUGUAAGUAACUAUGCACGUCUUGACGGUACCUAAUCAGAAAGCCACGGCUAACUACGUG